GCAAGCAGCCAUAUCACCCUGCAACUCACAACUGGCAACCCACUGAAGCCAAGCGGGUGUGAGCCUGGUCAGUACCUGGAUGGGAGACCUCCUGGGAAAAACUAAGGUUGCUGCUGGAA
ensembl:rRNA 5S_rRNA 5S ribosomal RNA